GGCUGGUCCAAAGGUAGUUGAGUUAUCUCAGUUGGUUGUUCAUAGGCAGUAACAUCAAACUCCUUAUUCUUCUCUGUCCCCUCUUCUCAAUACUGCACUUGACUAGUCUAAA
rnacentral:Y_RNA from 1 species